UUGGCGCGGCCUUUGUCUCUGGCUCAGGCCGGAGCCUGAGAUCCAUCUCUACUGUCCCGCGUGUUGCCCCUCGGGAGCACUAGGUGACUUUGUCACAUCCUCUGUUGCCCUGAGAUCUGGAGGUACUGGGAAAUGCAUAGCUAAGAUGCCAGGACAUCCUGGAAACCAGGAAAUGUUUGUCUGCAUCUUGUUAUUGGGCCACAAGAACACACAGCCAGACCCAGUUUGGUCCAGGAACAACAUCUGGCAAGCUAGCCAAGAGUCACUGAAAUGGUGCUGCACUCAGUGGCCCGUGAUUGUGGCGAGAUGGUCAUUUGGAGACUCCCAGAAGCUGCUGGAUAAGAUUGUCCUGGGGACUCUCCCAGGGGCUAUUCCAUGUGCAAAAACCACAUGUCCCUCUCACCACUGGGGAAGAAUGGUGAUCAGGCAGGAGUGGAUGCACUCAAAGGGAAAAGUCUUUCUCUAGGACCUGGAAAUGAUUGCUCGGAAAUGUAAACAGCAAAAAAGUUAGAGCCCUAUCGCACAGCUUGCUCCAAGUUUCAAAAUUACCUUCUGUCCCUCCUGGACUUGGGACCAUUAUUUUUCCUUCAGAUAUGCCAGUCAGCAACCACAGAUGGCCUCCCCAAUUACCAGACUCACUCAGACAUUGCUGCCUUCUCCAGCCUCUUUAAACUUUAAAGGCCAGCAGAGAAUGCUAUGUUUCAGGAUGGUGAUUGGUGGUUUUCACUUUGGACCAUAAGCAUCCGUAUUGUGCUCACCUGCUGCUGUGUAAGACAUGCCUACUUCUGCUUUCACCAUGAUUACAAGUUUCCUGAGACCUCCCCAGCCAUGCAGAACCACUAAGUUUCAAUUGGGAGCCAAGAUGACUGACUAGACACAGCCAGGGGAAACAACUGACAAGACACUGAGACAUUGAAAUUUCCAUCCCAUUCUGAGCCUAUCUUCAGAUGAAAUGCAUUGCAAGUGGGCAGAGGGAGGACACAGAUGCUGGAAACCCUUCAUGGUGUACCAAGUACUAGGAACUUAAGUCCACUUUUUCUGAGCCCUGCAAAACAUCAGAACUUGCUCAGGGAUUGCCAUCAUUGUGAUCUAGACUG
rnacentral:lncRNA from 1 species